UACGGGGGGUCCAGCGUUGUUCGGAAUUACUGGGCGUAAAGGGCUCGUAGGCGGCCAACUAAGUCAGACGUGAAAUCCCUCGGCUUAACCGGGGAACUGCAUCUGAUACUGGAUGGCUUGAGAUUGGGAGAGGGAUGCGGAAUUCCAGGUGUAGCGGUGAAAUGCGUAGAUAUCUGGAGGAACACCGGUGGCGAAGGCGGCAUCCUGGACCAACACUGACGCUGAGGAGCGAAAGCCAGGGGAGCAAACGGG
rnacentral:rRNA from 1 species